rnacentral:rRNA from 1 species
CUCGUGUCGUGAGAUGUUCGGUUAAGUCCGGCAACGAGCGCAACCCACACCCUUAGUUGCCAGCAUUCAGUUGGGCACUCUAGGGGAACUGCCCGUGAUAAGCGGGAGGAAGGUGUGGAUGACGUCAAGUCCUCAUGGCCCUUACGGGUUGGGCUACACACGUGCUACAAUGGCAUCAACAAUGGGUUAAUCCCUAAAAGAUGUCUCAGUUCGGAUUGGGGUCUGCAACUCGACCCCAUGAAGUCGGAAUCGCUAGUAAUCGCGUAACAGCAUGACGCGGUGAAUACGUUCCCGGGCCUU